CUAGAAAGGGACCACAAGAGGGAAGACGUUUGAGGAGCUUUGCGCAUUUUUAUUUGUCGAUAAUUUUAUCAAAAGGGUUGAUGGUAACAUGUGAACUUUUCUAAAUUACACGUUGCUUCAUAAAAUUAAAGCAAAAAUCAGAUUGCUCCUGUAUUACUUGUAAAUCAGUUGCUAGGUAAAAUCCAUACUGGCUUUCUCCACAUCACUUCAAGGACCAGUAUGAGCAGCAGCAGUACAGACCGAAUGGGGCUGGAGCUGCAGGCGGCGCCGCCGCAGCUCCGCGAAAUUCUACUCGAGUUCACACUCAACGUGCUGCUCCACCAGCCACCUGAUCUACUGGACUUCGCCCUCGAGUACUUCAACAAGCUGAAGGAGAAGCGCGACCAUGAGCGGGCGGUGAAUGGCACGGGAAGAUAGCACCACAAAUGCACCGUCAAGAACGAGGGAUCAAGUGUCCUCUAAGAAUGAGUGCCCGAAGUCAUGCUCUAUUCUGAUGUGUCCGAUAUCAUUUGUUCUUAACAGAUACUUGGCAAACAUUUUUUCUUUCCAGCUAGCUGCAGGUCCUCUUGUGAAUUAGUUCGAAUUUUCGUCUGUUUGCGCGGAAACUGACGGGAAAUUUGCAUCCGCUUCCCUGUACUUCUGUCCAUGCUGACUUGAAAUAAAACUUAGUGUUGUCAAACUCUAAA
rnacentral:lncRNA from 1 species